UAGCAGACAUGGGAUGGAGUCUGA
rnacentral:piRNA from 1 species